GCAUCGAUGAAGAACGCAGCGAAAUGCGAUAAGUAGUGUGAAUUGCAGAAUUCCGUGAAUCAUCGAAUCUUUGAACGCACAUUGCGCCUCCUGGUAUUCCGGGAGGCAUGCCUGUUCGAGCGUCACCGAAAUCAACUCAAGCACUUCUGCAUGGUCGUGGAGGAAGAGUCCCGUCUUGUUGCGGUCUCCCCCCCGAAAAUCAACGGCGGAAAGUCACUGGCACCUGGCGUAGUAGAAUCUGUUCGCUGUUCAGCCAGUGUCGUUCCUGCCCGCAAACCCCCCACAAUUCUCUUGAUUGACCUCGGAUCAGGUAGGGAUACCCGCUGAACUUAAGCAUAUCAAUAACCGGAGGAA
rnacentral:rRNA from 1 species